CGAAGUGGGACUUCGAAUGGCAUUUACGCCUUAACGGCGAACAAUUUCUUGCUGAAAGUGAGUCAUGAGUUUCCUCGCUCGUACAAUACACCAGGGGAGUUCAAAAGCAAAAGCUUUGGAGGGUAAAGGCAAGCUAGUCUUACCUUAAAGCCAGUGAAAGAAAGUUCCAGUCAGCAAGUCUCUUUUUACUGUGAGUGGGAGAAAGCUUUUUUUUUUAGCAAGCA
rnacentral:lncRNA from 1 species